UUGAAUCCGUACCCACACUUUCCUCCUAGUCCAUAUGUAUUCUCAUUUUUAUGCAUUGUGACAUCUCAUCUUUGUUUUGAGAUAAUCUAGAUUAUUUUGUGAACGGUUUGAUGAUUUUUUUUUCGAUAAAUUUCUGAGAAAUUCGAUAAACACGUUUAUCGGCAUCCUCCAAUUUUUUUCCUUACCGGUUAAGUCAACGAAGCCUCCAACCUCAUACCACCCUAUCAUUGUUUUUUUUUUAAUCUCUGAUGUGUUGCCUAGUGCAAUUCUAGCAUACGGAUGUGCAACACAGGUUUCUAAAGUAACGUAUUUUCUUUUUUCAUAGUUACUCACAAAAUUGUCUUCGAUCAUUUCACUACUGCAGUUUCCACAAAAUGGGAACAAUCCAUAGGGUUUUAUGUGAUCUUGUGGCAGUUAUCUAUUGGUUCAUCAAGAUAUUCAGUUAAAGGGUAAGAGGCUAAAAGUGCAUCGGUGCACUUGGUUUAAUAAAGUAUAUCGGUACUUGGUUUGACACUUUCUGCAUACGCAAAAAAUCCUUAAAUCAUCAUUUUUUUUUCUCAAUUUUAUAUUAUGUUCCAUUACGUGUGACCUGGCUGUCUGGAAAUUUAUGUUUUUCUGUGUUGUUAUUUUUUCUGAUUCAUUGGAUGUAUCAGAGUGUAUCAAGUAUCAUGCUCCGUUAUUCCUUUACAUUCUAUAAUAAGGCUAUGAUCUUUCUUCUUUCAAUGUAAUACAGAAUGAUAAUGGUCCCUUCUGUGAAAUGGGUGGAUGAUACCGUUCCAGAUGGACCUUACACUAUAACUGAAAAAUUCAUGAAAAAGCUAUUCGAUGAGUACAACAUAGAUUACACUAUCCAUGGUGAUGAUCCUUGUUUUCUACCAGAUGGUAUUGAUGCAUAUGCCCUUGCCAAAAUGGCCGGCCGAUAUAAGCAGAUUAAAAGAACUGAGGGAGUGUCUACGACAGAUAUUGGCAAACUGUGGGGGAGUUCCUCAGAGCUUUGCUAAGAAUGAUAUUGAGGUAUGAAUUAGGAAAUUUCUAGGUUCUAAAUCUCAGUUGCUUUUUAUUUCUGAAUUCUGAUCGAACCUCACAGCUGUUCUUCGAUUUUGCAAUUGAUUCUCGAUCUACCAGGAACUUAUUUUGUCAACAAUUGUACUGUCCAAAAGAUUUCCUUAUCUGAUCUGUCCUUUAGGAAACCAUGUGAACCUAGUGUCAUAUUAAGAAAUGUUUAAGGAUGAGCAGUCCACUAUUGUUCUUGUUCCAAUGGCUGCAUGAACCAUAAAUCUUCUGUUAUACCCAUUUUCUGGUUCUGAACUCCAACUUAUUCAACCUUGUGGGGACCAAUGAAUUUGUGAUUCCUAGAUAAUACACCUUUUUUCUGGUGAUGGAAAGGCUUUAUUCCCAUGUUGAUCAAGCAUUGCUUCAUGAUAUGUAUGCUUCUGUGUUAAGAGGGAGGGAAGGAGGGUCACCUUCUGAGGCCCACAGUCACUCUUCGCUGCAAAGGCAAUUCAGUGGUGGAAAUGGUCAGAAAGUUGAUGAUAGUGGAUCUUGAAGUUGGAACUAAAGUACCUCAUUUCUCCUUCCUACAUCUAGGCGAACAGUUCAGUUCUCAAAUAGGGUCCAGGUUCAGAGUCUCAGAUAGUUGACAUAGAUGGUGCAUCUGAUCUAUUCCAUGCUGGAGAUGUUGAGAUUACUGCAUUCAAUAUUUUAUUGUUUUUUCAUGUCACAAUUGCUGAGAUGGACUAUGCAAAGAAGUGGAGAAGGAAGCCAGUGAGAAUACUGUGACAGUAAAAGCUUUGUCAAUGGGGAGUAAGUUACGGUGAAGAUGUUGCCUGGAUCAUGUGAGAUUCCAAGCUUUCUUCAUAAACACAGCAGGUCCAGAGUUUUACCAUCUCUUCAGCACGUUUGGUGCUUUGCUAACAAUAGCUUAGGGAGCAUCAGGGGUAUCAUGGAUGAGUGACUUGCAGAGGCAAUUAAUUGGGCUCAGGCUAGAAACAUUUUCAUCAUUUCCCCAGUGUCUCCACCCUAUUUUUACCCUGUAUAUGCGCCACCUUUGAGUUGUCUGUUGUUUCCGGCUGAGUUCCAUUUGAGAUCUAUAGGUUUCAGAAUUGUGUGGUGCAGUAGGAAUGUUACCUGAUAAACUGUGCUGCUGCUGCUGCUGCUCC